rnacentral:rRNA from 1 species
ACGGGGUGCAGCAGGCGCGAAACCUUUGCAAUGCGGGAAACCGCGACAGGGGAACUCCGAGUGUCUGCACCUAGUGCAGACUUUUAAGAUGCCUAAAAAGCAUGUGGAAUAAGGGCCGGGUAAGACGGGUGCCAGCCGCCGCGGUAACACCCGCGGCCCGAGUGGUGGUCGCUUUUAUUGGGUCUAAAGGGUUCGUAGCCGGCUCAGCAAGUCCUUUGGGAAAUCCGGCAGCUUAACUGUCGGGCUUCUAAGGGAUACUACUGGGCUUGGGACCGGGUGAGGGUAGAGGUACUCCAGGGGUAGCGGUGAAAUGCUGUAAUCCUUGGGGGACUACCAGUGGCGAAGGCGUCUACCCAGAACGGGUCCGACGGUGAGGGACGAAAGCUAGGGGCGCAAACGGGAUUAGAUACCCCGGUAGUCCUAGCCCUAAACGAUGUGGGCUGUGUGUCGGUCUCGACGCGAUCGAGACCGGUGCCGUAGGGAAGCUGUUAAGCCCACCACCUGGGGAGUACGGUCGCAAGGCUGAAACUUAAAGGAAUUGGCGGGGGAGCAC